AGGAACUUAGGAUUAAACAAACCAGAGGCCUUCAAAGCCCCAAAAAAGAGUAUUAACCUCUUAGCUCCUG
rnacentral:tRNA from 1 species